rnacentral:tRNA from 1 species
GCCUUCGUGGUGUAGUGGUCAGCACGUUCGACUUGUAUUCGAGAGGUCCGUGGUUCGACUCCCGGCGAGAGCA